AGAAGUGAUGUACAAGAUGGUAAUUUUACCAUGUGUAUCAAUUUUAAAGCAACAUGUACAAGUUGCUUAAAGCCAUAGAAAUUGGAAUUUCUACCAAGUUUAAGACGCCUAAGGGGCACUCUCGGGAUUUCAUCCAUCGAAAAAUCCUGCUCAUCAUUUAUCACCAAUUAAAUAAGAUGCCACCGAUAAGUCGGAGAAAGCCAACCGCCUUCAUCUUCAUUCUUCCAUCUUCUUCUUCACUAAUAAAACCAGUUAGGGUUCUUCACUUCCAUUGCUUAGCUUAAAUUUGUAACCAGAUGAUUGCUAUUGCUAUAAAUAAAUAAAUAAUUAUCAAGAAAAUCGCCAGCCAAAGUGGAAUACUUUCUUCCUCAAGUCUUCGAUCCACCAAUCAAGUCCGUCGAUGGCCGUCGCCUCUUAUCGUCCCGACACCACCAAAAUUUGCACUCACUGUUCUUAGAGGGAUUUCUGACGGGUUAGCUAGAGGAAAUAAACCUGAUGAAAUGGAGAAAUUGGUAAUUGAUCUAUUGAAGGCUCAUUUGAGACAUCCAUAGGCAUCAGAGGUUAACAACAAAGAUAUCAUAUCUCAUUUUGUUUUGCGUCUCGUGUAUUGUCGAUCGUAAUCUUUUGAACUUUUUGCCGUUUAUUUAUUUAUUUUUUAUUUUCUGCUUUGAUGUCUUAUGUAGAUUUGAACUGAUUGUGUUGAUGACUUCAAAUUCAUUAUUGUUUAUGUGGCUUUUGGUAUUGGAUGCUCUUUGUGUAUUCUAGCAAGUUUGUUUUUACUUAUGCAAGCUGGGUACGAAACGGCCAACCAGCUUUUCGACAAAAUGCAUUUUUCUAUUUUCUGUGCCCCCAUGUCUUUCUUUGAUGCCAACCCAUCUGGUCGAAUCCUAAGCCGAGUAUCUUCAGUCCAAACUGCAGUGGACUUGUCAAUACCAUAUAGUAUUGGUCCAUUUGCCUAUGCUAUCAUACAGCUUUUAGGCAUUGUUUUAGUUAUGUCACUAAACCGAGUAUAAUACAAAAAA